UUAAGCCCUGCCCCCUGUAAAAGAAGCCUUUUUUAGGAAGUGCUGAUGUGGGGCCCAUACAAGAAUGAUGAGUGAUUUAAUUACCUGUUAAUGUUUGGAAAUCUGCACCUUAAAUCCCAGAAUUCUGGGUCCUUCAUGCUUUUGGCCAAGAAACACAGUGUUGUUGGAGGCCCAGGGUUGUGUCUGACUCACGAUCUCUGUCUUGGUGGCAGACCCCUGAGGAGUUGGAUGACUCUGACUUUGAGACAGAAGAUUUUGAUGUCAGAAGCAGGACGAGCGUCCAGACAGAAGAUGACCAGCUGAUAGCUGGCCAAAGUGCACGGGUAAGGAAGUGCUCCUUGGGGCAUUUUAACUUGUUCUGCAGACCUUUCCUGUCCUUCUCAAGCCUUGCCUUUUUCUCUUCCAGGAAAACACUCUCAGUAUUUUUCUCUAACAGUAGGACUGAAGUUAACCUAAGUUGUGGCACCUGCUGUUCAACUGGAAGCAGAGCAGGAACAUGGGCCUCCUCCUCAGCUGUGCCCUAGGGUUCUGGUUUAUGAUAAAUCCCUGGGUCAGAAAAGGCUUAGGAUCUAGUCGAUGCAACAUUUGUUAAAAGGAUUGUGAAAUUUGAAAAAGAUUGCUGCCUUUGCCCAGCUCACUGAUACCGUGGAUAUGAGCUAUUUUAAUUAUUCAUGAGUUUAAAAAAAAUAACUGGUACAUUCAAGAAGAAAACCAGUCAGUCAUUGCAGUCAAGUCAUUAAAUCUUCAAUCAAUAGCAUUUGUUUUUGGAAGGACACCAAGAAAUAUUUCUAUGGAGAAUUUUUUUUUUUUUUUAACUCCUUGGAAAUCCAUCUUGAGCAGUGACCAUGUCACUGUUUUAAGUCCUGCUCAGGCACGAACACUUCAGGAAACGAAGAGGCAGAGCCUUGGCCCUGGGCCUGUGGCCUUGAGGGCUCCAGGUGCUGCUUUAACAUGGUUUAAGUGGCUGUCAGAUAGCUGCUUAAUGUAUGUUCCACUAGAAUGUAUGUUCCUCAGCAAAUUCUUCUCUGCCUUUCUCUUCAAAAUUAACAUCCUAAAGCUACUUCUGAUAUACUUUGAAAACUUGGACAUGUCCAUUCAGAGCCCGCAGGCUCUGAAUGAGCUCUACACAUUCUUUAUCGCCUCCUCUCAUUUUCUGGGAGGCAGAAGAUAAAACUUUUAAAGAAUUAAACCAAAUUUAAACCAGUUUCUGUUCCUACAUAGAUGUGACUGUGAAAGUUCCACACUAGUUCCACCCCUCUCACGCUCUUUCCCUGCACACUAAAUCUUGCUCUUGAAAGUGGUUUGGGAAUUUAGGCUGCCAUAAAUGUCAGUAAAAAAUGAGAAGAAAUAGCCCUUCAGGAAAAAUGAACCCCAUUAAAGCAUUAUCCAACCUAUGUCAUACACUGCCUGUUGGAGAUAUUCUUGGCUAAUGCACUGUGAGAACUUCACACUCUUUACAUAAGAGCUUUCUGUACUUCUGAUUGUAGGCAAUCAUGGCUCAGCUUCCCCAGGAGCAAAAAGCAAAGAUUGCGGAACAGGUGGCCAGUUUCCAGGAAGAAAAAAGCAAGCUGGAUGCAGAAGUGUCUAAAUGGGAUGACAGUGGCAACGACAUCAUCGUGCUGGCCAAGCAGAUGUGUAUGAUUAUGAUGGAGAUGACUGAUUUUACCCGGUGAGCAGCACCCCACCCUGGCGGGCUGAUAGGAGACAGGACAGUUUUCUUCCCCACAGGCCAGGUUGCUUUGUAAGACAUUUUCUGUUCUGUUCAUCUCUGAACCUGCGGGGGUGUCAUGGACAGGGAUCCUUAUUCUCGUUUUUCAGAGGUAAAGGACCACUCAAAAAUACAUCAGAUGUGAUUAGUGCUGCCAAGAAAAUUGCUGAGGCAGGAUCCAGGAUGGAUAAACUUGGCCGAACCAUCGCAGAUCACGUAAGUGACGAACUUUCCUGAACUUAUCUCUGAGCUUAUCCUAGGCUCAGACAGUUCAGAUUGACCUAUUGCUGAGGUGGCCAUUAAUGAUCAUAGCACUCUUAUAUUAUCCAAAAAUUAUUCUGACCUAUUUUAAUCCCACCAUAAAUUUCUAAGGAUUUCUGUAGUGUCUUUGACAAAUCUGAGGAGCUAGGUCUGGUUCCCAUUAGAACUCAUCUCAGUUAAUAUACAAUGAACACUUGCUGUUGAUUUAUUUAUUUCUCAGUUCUUAAGAACUUCAGGUCUGAGCAGAAACUGAUUCUGCCAACCCUAACACACUAGAAACACAUGUAUCUCUCUCACGGUUUAUUUCAUAUAAAAAUCAGGAGCCCUAGUGGGGUGGGGUAGUGCACAUCUGUAAUCCAGCUACUCAGGAGACUAAGGCAGGAGAAUCACAAACUCAAGGCCAGCCUAGGCCAACUUAGGGAGACCUUUAAAAGUGUCAGUGAUAGAGUGCUUGCCUAGCUGUGUGAAAGAAUCCCCAGCAUGGGGACCCCCCACCCCCAAACAAAACAAAAAAACCCACCCCAUUGGCCAGCAGCAUUUUGAAAUGCUGCUGUGCCUAGCUGGGGACAGACUUCCAUGUUCUUUGUAUUGCCUGUUCUCAACCAGCAGUUUCAUCCCUUUAUUCCCUCAUAGUAAUAGGUCAGAAAACUAUGCUUCUAUCUCCUGGAUAGUGUGGUGCUCUAAGACUUAUCAGAGAAGCUAAUUUUUCCCUCCACAUUCUUUUUUCUGAAUUAUUCAAACUUUCAGCCUCAUCUACUGCCAGAUGAGUGACAGCUGCCCCUCAUUACUCAAAGCAAAUAUUCUGGAAUCAUCCUUCACACCACCCAGUAAGAAGCCUUGUUGCUUCUAGUGACCAUAUAUGUAUCUUGACACCAUCAAAGUUUUUCCUGUCUGAAAUUAACAGCUCUAUCCAGAGCUCCAUUCCACCUAUCUUAACCACCAUGGCCUCUCCCUUCCUCUUUCCUGUCUUCACCCUAUUCUGCAUGCAGCUACCAACACUGCCAUCAUAAAACACAGGGCCUUCUUAGAAAAAAAUUCAGUCUCCAGAAUGAACUACAAGCCUCAUUUUAUACAACUCUGUUGUUCACAGUGAGGCCCCAGUCUCAUCGGAAGAAAGUGUUUCAAACAUUUGAGAGGUGUGAGGAUUCCUCCUUUAGGUAAAGCAACCUGAGAUUCAACAGUAAUCAGGAGCUGGGCAGGGCCACUGUUUCCCUGUAUUUAGUCAAGGUUUCUUGCUUUGGUUUACUUCUACAUCCUCCAUCUUUGCCUCAAGUGAAUGUCUCCUGUCAUUGGCUGUUUAAUAUUUGCACCCAAAACUGGGCAAGUAAAAUGCUUCACGGCAGAAGAGCUGUUUUGUUUGACUGGGUAGUGUCCGUAGCUUAACACAUUCUUUUCUACGUAAUCAGGCUCUUGCUGAGACUUUUUAGGGCCAUAUGCUUCCUCCCUACUAAAAAAUUGAAUCCUUGGCAGUAGUGGUUUCUCCCAAGUUGUGGAGUUAGUGAAAGGAGGGCUCAGGAAGUCUUUAUGUCCCAUGCUAUGCAGCACAUUUAGGGCUCCCUGAGGGGACUUGCCUCCUUCCCUGAGCCAAGUGAUGUGAACACCCCAAAUAACUGGGUAAUUUAUCUCUCUUGCCCUUUGCUCCAGCAAGAGGAGAGGAAACUUUCAGAACUGGGCCUAGGGUGGGGUGCUGUCACUGGGCCUGCAGUGUUAUUGAGCCUGCUGAGUUUGUUCUCCCCUCAGUGUCCAGACUCAGCCUGCAAGCAGGACCUGCUGGCCUACCUGCAACGCAUUGCCCUCUACUGCCACCAGCUCAACAUUUGCAGCAAAGUCAAGGCUGAGGUCCAGAACCUUGGUGGAGAGCUUGUUGUCUCUGGGGUAAGUGUUAGUGCAUUCCUGCUCAUCACCUUUUCUUACCACUAUGUCUAAAAUGAAAGCAGCCUCUAGUCUUAUCUAUAUACACUCCUCACUUGGGGAACAUGUGCUAGGCAGAAACUCCCAAGUUCUCUCUUGGUCCCCGGAGGCCACAAGCUGCACAUCUCCCUGCAGAAUUGCAGCUCUGUUUAGCAUGGCAUGAUUAGUGAUAGCUACAGCCACUACCAGAGCUGGCCACUCAUUGGGAAAAAUAUUUUUAUCUUUCCCAGAGAAGAAUUAAGCCUCUUCAGAAAUUGCAAAGUAGACAGUCUGCUUUCUUCUACCCAAUAGUGCAGAAUUGUAGCUAUUCUUUUUCCUGUUAAUCGGGUCUCAAUUUUGGGUCCUCCUCACCUUGUUUUGCUGAGUCCCCACAACUUCUGUUAAUCCCACGGAAUUUCCUUUAAAAGGAAUAUUUCAGGGGCUGGGGAUGUGGCUCAAGCGGUAGCGCGCUCGCCUGGCAUGCGUGCGGCCCGGGUUCGACCCUCAGCACCACAUACAAACAAAGAUGUUGUGUCUGCCGAAAACCAAAAAAUAAAUAUUUAAAAAAAUAAAUAAAUAAAAGGAAUAUUUCAGCCAGGCACAAUGAGACACAACUAUAAUCCCAGCUGCUUGGGAGGCUGAGGCAGGACACUGAGGAGGAUCAAAAGUUUGAGGCCAGCCUGAGCACCUUAGCAAGACCCUGUCUCUAAAAAGGUGACAGAGUGCUUGGGUAACAUACACAAGGCCGAAUACUGCCAAAAAAAAAAUUGAACAUUUGACACCCUUUACUCAUCUGUCUUCUAUGGAGCAAUCUUCCAGAUCCUCUAAAAUGAGGGAGGAGAUGCCUGUGUCAUGAAUGAAAGCAGAGGGGGAAUAGGUAUAUUGGUCAGAUAGGGGCUUGACUGGAUUCCUCCUCAGUGCUUCUAGUUCUUCAGUCACUCAGUGUCAAAAAGAUAGAUGCCAAUCCACCUCCAGUGUUUGUUUUGUGAACGAAUGUUUGAGGGGUGGAAGAAGGCAAAAUGAUGAUGACCUAUAUACUUUCUUGCACGCCCUUUCCUUUGUCAGAGGAUCUGAAACAUGGGUAUUUUAAGGCUUUUUGUAUCCAAUCAGAAACAAGGUUGCUGGCCAGUAUUCUGUACUCUGGGGACCUGCCCAGAUUUUGGUGCUAGAGGGUCAUUGCCAUCAGAUAUGACUCCUUACUGUCCCAUUUGUGCCUUGUAGGUGGACAGUGCCAUGUCCCUGAUCCAGGCAGCCAAGAACUUGAUGAAUGCUGUGGUGCAGACAGUGAAGGCAUCCUAUGUAGCCUCUACCAAAUACCAAAAGUCCCAGGGCAUGGCUUCCCUCAACCUUCCUGCUGUGUCCUGGAAGAUGAAGGCACCUGAGAAGAAGCCCUUGGUGAAGAGAGAGAAGCAGGAUGAGACACAGACCAAGAUUAAGCGGGCAUCUCAGAAGAAGCAUGUGAACCCUGUGCAGGCCCUCAGUGAGUUCAAAGCCAUGGACAGCAUCUAAUUCUGCCUUAACCACCUGCCCCCACCCGCGGGGGCUCUUAAAGAUCAAUCACUGUUCUUCACUCAAGUAUACUUGCUAAGUAGAGAACACUUACAUAGGAAGAUUUUGAAACCAGCCAGGUGGUGAAUUUUGCCAGGAUAUGUUUAAAUUGGUCAAAAAAUGCUUUUAGAUUCAGGAGCAUAUUUCUAGCUGUAUUUUUAUAAGCUUAAAUAAAAAUUCCAUAACCAAAGCAAAUCCCACAUUAACUUGUUAGUAACAAUCAGAUUGGAAUACCCAUUCUCUCAGCAAAGAGAGUGGACUCAACUGUGGAGGAGGAAUGUCCCAGAAAGGUCUUGCAAGGGAUAAAAACAUCAUGAAAAACAAAACACACAAAAAAACUCGAUUAUUUUUUAUGAAAUAAGAAUUAUAAUGCAUGGCUACAAUUACUAAUGCACUCUGCUGCAGAACAUUAAUAAUAAUGUUGCUUUUUUCAGGCUGGGAUGUUGGGAUGCCAUAAUUUGAACAUGCUUUUUUCUCCCCAACUGCAUAGGCAAAGUCAUCAUUGGGCUCACUUCUAAUAAUUGCAGUGUUUCCUGCCUUAGGCUUGCAAUAGAAGCCUGACAGAAUGAAUAUGUUUGCUUAGGCCAUAAUUUAGAUUUUACCUUAUUUGUGAUUACUACAUUGAUUACUAUAGCUACAAGGUAUACUUUUACUGUCUUAUUUAAAUUUUAUUAAUUUGAAUGUUUUUUACACUAGCUUUUCCCAAUAAAGUCCACUAUGAAACCAAAUAUAAGAGGCUGAAGUCACUGUAUCUGCUUUCAGGAAGCGUCUUGGGGACUGGGUUGCAGCUCAGUGGUGCAGCACUUGCCUAGGGUGUGAGAAACCCUAUAUCAGUCACCAGAACCACAAUACUCUUGGACUUGUCAUAGCAUCUGCGCCCUCCCCAUCUUCUCCCAGGACAGUUGCUCAGUGAGGGACACUAUGCCCAUAGUUUUAGGGAGGGCCAUAUUGCCUCAUAGGCUCAUGACAGGCCACACCCUUGUCCCAUUGAAUAUCCCAACCUGUACCUCCAUCUUGGGAACUCACAUGAACAUUCUUCAAGGUUCGCAUCAAGACCUUGGAGGCACAAUUGAUUCUUCCUUUCUCUUCUACAUUUUUUUCUUAACAUUCAACCAUGCCAUGAAAAUAAGUGCCUUAGAACUAAAAACUCACCUUAGCUCCCUGUCUCUUCCCAACAACCAUCCCCUUCUUAGUCAAAACUCCUUAAAGAAAUGGCUAUUGUCAUUGUCACCUUUAUGUAAGUUCUGUCACUUCAGUCAGCUGUCAUCUUGCCUGCUCUAGCUUCAUCCCUCUUGCCUUCCACACUGCAACACUGGCUUUUUCUUCCACGAUCCCACUGACCACACCCAAGGAAUGGUCAGGGGGACCAGUCCUUGCGCAAAGCACUUCCAUUUCCAGAUGCCUCCCCUGGGUUUUCUGUCUUCACCAACAGCUUUUCUGUGUUGAAGGGCGUGUCUGUACCUGGGCCUCUUCCUUUCUCUGUCAAUGCUCACUCUUCUAAUUCAGCCUCUAUUCCUAUCUUUUACACUGUCACUUGGAUGCCUAAUAACAUCUCAAGCUUGACCCGUCUGGACCACACUGCCAUCACUGCCCUCUACCACUCAUGCCCAAAGCCCUUCUUGCUAUUUUCCCCACCUCACUAGCUGGCACUACUAGUCACCUCAUUUCUCUGGCCAAAUAUCAAAAAAGCAAAACAAUCUCUUUUUAAAAUAUAAGAUCUUCCUACUUUUCCUAUACCACCUCUGUUUACAUUCCGGGUCAUGUUAUCAGUUAUUGCUGUUUAAACAGAUUUGCAAAACUUAGCAGCUAAAACACAGUUUCUGAAGGUCAAGAACCCGGGAGCAACUUGGCUGGGUGGUCAAGGUUCAGGGUCUCAUGACCAUGACAUCAGUUAAGGCUAUGGUGUCAGCUUGACUGUGGGGGGGGGGCGGGUUAUCUACUUCCAAGCUAGUUGAUGCUGCUGUUGGCAGAGGCCUCAGAUCCUUGCCUUGUGGGACCUUCCAAAGAACAGCUCACAACAUGGCAGCUGGCUUCCCCUGAAGUGAAGGAUCUGAGAGCAGCAGCAGCCAGAUGGAAGCCACAGUGUUCUUUUAAAACCCGAUCUGGAAAGUGAUUCCCCAUCACUGCUGCUACAUUGUUGGUCACAGACCUAUGCUGGUGCGACCAGGAGGUGGGCUGCCAGCCAGCAGCAGCCUCCCUGACCCAGAAGCCAGUUCACGUCUCCCCCUGAGCCCAAACUUUGCAUUGAUUUUCGGGCCCUCAGUAAAAGUCAAGGUCUUCAGUAAUGGCUAUGGCUCUGCACCCUCUGGCCUUUCUCUCUAACCAUUCUUCAUCAUUCUCUUUCUGUUCCUGGUCUCACUGACAUUCUUUCAACAUGCCAAGUGUUUCCUGCCUCAGCCUGUGUACAUGAGGUCCCCAGCCCAGAAAAUACUUCCCAAGGGAGCCCUGUGAAUUCUCUAGCAUUUCCUUCAACUGUCUCAUCAAAAGUCACCUUAUAAGAAGGACUGCCAUCCUUAUGGUGUCCUCUCUUCAUGGCUUUGAACUCUACGUAUCCGUAUUUGUUUCUGUUGUGUACUCUCUGUGGGCAGCAAAUCUUUAUUUUGUUCACCACAGAAUCACCAAGGUCCAGCAUACUUCCCACACAUGGAAAGCACUAGGGAUAUAGUUGCUCCGCAUUCUGUGGCUACUUAACCAGCAGCCUCCCUUUACCUGGCCUCUGCUGACACUCGGGGAUGUUCUUCUCAUUAUUAUUAUUAUUUUUUUUAAUUUUAUUUGUCAGUGGACCUUUAUUUUGCUUAUUUAUAUGUGGUGCUGAGAAUUGUACCUCUCACAUGCUAGGACAGUGCUCUACCACUGAGCCACACCCCCAGCCCUCUCAUUGGCUUUUGUUCUUUAGUUUGUCACACUCCAAAACUGUCUCCCACACCUCAGCACCAGAUCCAGUCUGUCUCCAUCUGUUUCAUCUGAUGUCCACCACCCCACCCCAGCAAGACCCCAGGCCCCAGCUCUCAGCCCAGCCACUGGCCUGAACCCCUUACUGGGGUCAUUGCAGAGGCUCCUGAACAGCUUCACUUAUUUGACUGCCUCAAACCCCUGUCAAAGGCCUGUCUGGCUGCCCCCUUAACCAUCUGACCACUCUUUUUUGUGUCCAGCCCUGGGGCCCUGCCAUCUGCACUCACACUGCCCUCUAGAAGCAUUUCCCAGAGGGCCCCGGCUCUCACAGGGAGCCCGUUACGGAGCCGCAUUCUUCCAACCCAUAUGUGUCACAGGCAUUCCCCAGGCCUCACCAUCCCUAUAGUCUCUCUUGACCUUGAUGCUAUUAUUUACAAGUUUGUUUUGUUUGAGACAGGGGUCUCGAUAUUUUGCCCAGGCUGGCCUUGGAACUCAACUGACCUUUCUACCUCAUUUUCCCAAGCUGCUGGAACUAUUGGUGUACAGCCCAGCUUAAGAAGUCAAAUUUUUAAAAUUUAAGCUUCUUUUUAAGCAGUAUCUAUUGUUUGAUGUGCUGAUAUUAUAAUAUUACGAUAAUAUUUUAAUAUUAACUUAUGGAUCAUUUAGUCAUCCUUUAUAGCACAGUGAGAAACAGCAGCCCCACUGUCCCUUGUCCCCUUGGCCUGUUCCCUCCCCUGCCCCAGCAGCACCUCCAGGGACCAUCACAGCACCUGCCUCCUUGGAAGCAGGAGUCCCUCUGUUCAGGAACUCAGCACUGGCUCUGUUCUUCUCCUGUGUCCAGAAAAGGACAAAAAAUCAUAGAGUUAUGUUAACAUUUAUUGAUUUAAACCACUCUAUCAAAGAUGCUAGAGCGCCAAAACUGGCAAUCAAGGAUGCACCUCCAGAGACCUAGAGAGCCUAAGCUGAGCCUAAUCCUGAAACCCUACUGUCAUCCCUGACCCGAGCAGCGCAGCCUGGGCAGAAUGUGAGGAGACACUGUGUCCCACCCUGCUCUGGAGAAGUGCUGGUUCCCACCCCUUCGCUGUUCACUAAGGGGACUGCCUGGCCUCUGCAUUCAGACACUUGCUCUGGGCCAGGACCUACAUGCUGUUGCUAUCAGCAGUUUCAAUGACACACCCAGAGUGAGGCCUGGGGACAGAAGCCAAGUCCCAGCUCCCUCUACCCCACGGUGCCUGUCACACAGCUCUUGUGGCCCCUCCAACUUGCUUCCCCACCACCUGCACACACCGACCUCAUGCAGAACCCUCAGCAUCCCCCUCGCUGGCAGUGCCUGUGCCUUCCUCAGGUGGGCUCCCCCCUCCCACUACUAACCACCCACCCUGGGGUGGCUCCUGUGGCCCCAGGCAGAUACUUCAAAGGCCCCCUCACCUCUGCAGCCCUUGUGCCCACAGCCUCCAGCCUGCUCCAAUCUCCACCCAGGCCAGGGCUACCUCCUCACAGGAGAGGAGCUGCCACGUGCUGGCACCCCAGGGCCAGUGUCUGGCUUUACCAUAUCACCUCAUUUCAUCUCCAAAACUGGUGACGUGCCAGUGCUAGCACCACUCCUCCAACCUCCUAGCUGAAGAAGGGACGGAGAAAGGUGAAGGGGCUCACCCAAGUUGCCUAGUGGCAAGUGGCCCAGGCCACCACCAGAUUCAAGACCCUAAUGCCCCAGGUUCUUACCACCCGUACUGUAGCCUCAGAGGUCCCUUACAUGAGAUGACAGUGACCACUUCCCCCUCGCUUCUGCUCCUACCCAGCUUGUUCUCCUUGAGGUCUCUGGUGUGGACGAGUUCCAGGGCUUGGACCUUGGAUUUGGGUCCUCCUCUUCUCUGUGUCCAACCACAUCAGCCUCCAGGCUGAUGGUCCCAGGCAGUGGUGUGCUAGCAAAUGUUUAACAGACAGCUCUCUGGGGCAGGAAAGGGUAAGGGUGUGUGUGUGUGUGUGUGUGUGUACACACGUGUGUGUGUAUAUGCACACAUACAUUCCUUUAUUAUGCAUUAUAUUGCUAUAAAGGAGUAAAGCACACAGUUUACAAAUAAUAUUAAAAUACACAACACUCUACUUUGAACUUCGCCUAGCUGACUGAUUCUUAUAAAGGCUUUCACUGAUUUUUGCAGCGCUCGUUUCCAUAGCCAUCCUAUGGCUGCCACUGACAAAUGAGUCUAGUUCCGACAUGAAUGUUGCUUGACCUAUAUUUUUGUUUACCUUAAGGAGCAAGAUGAAACAACAAACCCUUAUGGUGGAAUUGUACUUGUUAGAAAAUGAGUAACUUUGUGGAAUCAGCAGUUGUGAAUUACUGUAAAAUGACUCUCUCCAUUUUUUGUGCUAUUGACAAUAUCACUGCUAUAAACAACUUACUUUUAACUGGCAUUGUUAACUUUUUCCUCAUCAUUUUCUUAAGUCUAGACUAUGAACAAAGUGGUAAGUUGAUCUGCAGCAUGUCCCAAUUUCCAUGGUGAAAACACUGUGCCACAUGACUGGCAGUCACUAUGGCAGCCAUCUCCUGGACACAUCCAGAGCUGGAUCAUCUCCAGAUCAUGGUAACAUGUAGGCAUUAGAAAAGGAUUUGCUUUCUGAAUUCAUUACCUUUUUGAAAUUUAGGUUGGAAUUCAAGUACAAUCCACUCUUUCUGAUGUACCAGCCCUGGUGGCCCACGCCAAUAAUUCCACAGCUGGGAAGGCUGAGGCAGGAGGAUCAGGAGUUCAAAACCAGCCUCAGCAACUUAGUGAGCCCCUACAUCUAGACAGAUAAAGUAUUUAGAAAGGGCUUGAGACAUGGCUCACUGGUAAAGCGCCCCUGGAUUCAAUCCCUAGUACAAAGCAAAACAAAACCCCAACUCAUCCCCCAUCAAAGUCCUGGCAAAACCCUUUCCGUAUAUUUUCACCUUUUCCCAAACACAAACAGAACCCUACAGCCUUUCGAGUCUGGCCAAACUGCAUUUCAAUUAGCAUGAUGCUUGUGCAAUGUGUGUGUAUUGUUGUGUAUAGCCUUAGCUCAUUUCUUUUUUACUGCUGAGUAGUAUUCCUUAUGAGGGUGUACUAUAAAUUGUUCAUCCAUUCCCCAGAUGAGGGCCACCUCAGUUGUCUCCAGUUUUUGUUUUUUUAAAAAACAAAUAAAACUGAUAUAUAAGCAUUUGCAUCCAAGGUUUUGUGUAAACAAAUUUUUGUUCAUCUCAACUAAACACAUAGGAAUGAGACCACUAUAUUCUGUGCCAAGAAUAUGUUUACAAGAAACUGCACACUGUUUUCUAUGGGGUCUACGCCAUUCUGCACCCUCCAGCCUGCAAUGAGUGUUCAGUGGCUCCACUUCCUCCUCCUGUGGUGUCAACAGGCUUCUUUGUUUCUGUGGGGUUUUUAAGCCAUUUAAUAGGCAGACAGCAGUGUCUCGCUAUGGUUUCAUUCUAUGUUUCCUUAACUACUAAUAAGGUUUGGCAUCUUUACAUGUGCUUCUCUGCCAUCUGUAUCUUUGUUGGUGAAAUGUCUUUUCAAAUCUUUUGCCUAGUUUUUAUUGGGUUGGGUAUUUUCUUACUGGUGAUUUUCUUACAUACUUAGUCAACUAUCUGAUUUGAAAUAUUUUCCUGGUUGUAACAAGUUUUUUAUUCUCUUAACAGUUUCUUUCAUGGAAUAAAAGUUUUUCCAAUUUAUCAAUGUUUUCAUUUUAUGAAUGGUGAGUUUGAUGUUCUGAGAACUCUGACUCCAGGUCUCAAAGAUUUCUCUCCUGUUUUCUUAUGUUUUAUCAUUUUAUAUUUAGGUCUAUGAUUGAUUUUUGAGUUAAAUUUUGUACAAGAUAUCAGGUAUACAGGUCAGGGCUCAUUUUAAAAAAUACAACUCUCCAAUUGCACCAUUUAUUGAAAAAACAAUCCUUUCUACUUUGAAUUGCCUUUGCACUUUCAUCAAAAACCAACUGACAUGAAAACAAAAACAAACCAAUUAACUACACAGUAGUUUCCCUUUAUCUGUAGUUCUUCUUUCUGUGGUUUUAGUUACCGUUGGUCCAUCAUGGUCCAAAAAUAUUAAAUGGAAAAUUCCAGAAACAAACAUUUCAUAAACUUUAAACUGUAUGACAUUCUGAGUAGCAUGAUAAAAUCUUGCACCAUCCAGAUCCAUCCUGACCAAGCUGUCCAGUGUAACCAUACUGUAUAUACUACCUGCCUAUUAAGUCAUUUAGUAGCCAUUGUGGUCAUCCGAUCAACUGUCAUGUGCUUGUGCUCAUGUAACACUUAUUUAAUAAUGGCCCCAAAGUGUAACAGUAGUGAUGCUGGCAAUCUGAAUAUGUCACAGAGAAGGUAUAAAGUACUCCCUUAAAGUAAAAGGGUGAAAGUUCUCAAUUAAAAAACAAAACAUUGAAUUUGCUAAGAUCUAUAAUAAAAUGAAUCCUAUUAGAGAAAUUUGUAUUGAUUUUGCUAUCACACCUCAAAACUUCAAGUUAUAACCACAGUGUAUGAGAAGUGCUUGGUUAAAACAAAAAACGUAGGAUUAGAGUGUUUGGUACUACCAUUAGUUUUAGGUCUCUGCUGGGGGUCUUGGAACACAUCCUUUGUGGAUAAAGGGGGACUACCAUAUUUGUGUGGGUCUAUUUCUAAAUUCUAGUGUAACUUAUUGACCUAUGUGUCUAUCCUUUGACCAAGGCCACACUUUUUUUUGGAGGGGGUACUAGGGAUUGAACAAGGGGUGCUUUACAACUUAGCUACCUCCCCAGUCCUUUUUAUUUUGGGGCAGGGUCUCAUUAUUGCUAAGGCUGACCUCAAACUUGUCAUCCUCCUGCCUCAGCCUCCCAAAUCACUGAGAUGACACCCAUCACACCAGGUUCACUCUUUUUUUUUUUGGGGGGGUGUGCUGGGGAUUGAACCCAGCACCUUGUACAUGUGAGGCAGGCAAGCUACCAACUGAGCUAUAUCUCCAGCCCCUCACUUUCUUGAUUACUAGUUUUAUGGUCUGAAAAUCAGCUAGUGUAAGUCUCCCCAACUUUGUUCCUCUUUUUCAAAAUUGUCUUAACUAUUCUAGUUGCUUUGUGUUUCCAUGUAAAUUUUCUUGACAUUUAAAAAUUCCUAUUGGAAUUUCAUUGAAUCUAUAGAUCAAUUUUGUGGGAAGUGAUAGCUCAACAAUAUGGAGUCUUCCAACCCAUGAACUCAAUAUAGCUCCUCCUUUAUUUAGAUCUUUGAUUUCUUUCAUCAGUUAUUUGUUGUUUGCAGCAUAACAUCUUGCGCCUAUUGUAUCAGCAUAAAAUCCUACUAUUAUUUCACUUUCAAUGCUAUUAUAACUAGUACUGUUUUUAAUUUCUUCUUGUUUGUUACUAGUAUAUAGAAAUAGAAUUGAUUUUUGUGUAUACCUUAUAUCCUAUGACCUAGCUAAACUCUAGCUGUAUAUUUUUUGCAGAUUCUAUGAGAUUUUCUACAUUGAUAUGUCAUCUGUGAACAGAGUUUUAUUUCUUCUUUUAUGCUUUUAUUUCAUCUUCUUGCCUUCAGGCACCAUCCAGGACUUUCAGCACAAUAUUGAAAAAAAAAAUUGUGAGACAGAUCACUCUUGUCCUGGAUCUUAGGGGAAAGAAUUCAGUCUUUCACCACUAAGCCUGAUGUUAGGUGCAGGUUUUUAUGUAGUUUCCCUUCAGGAGGUAAGGAAAUUCUCCUCUAUUCCUAAUUUGCUGAGAGCAUGUGAAGUGAAUGAAUAUUGGGCUCUGUCAAUUUUUUUCUGCAUCUCUUGAGAUGAUCGUAAGGCUCUUCUCCUUUUUCUUUGCUCUUUUUAGUUAUACAUAUUAGGAUUCAUCUUGAGAUAAGGAUUGGAAUAUAAUUUGCUCUAAUUUAGUCCCCAGUACUUCUCCUUUCCUUCCCCUCUUUUCUACUAGUCUUUGUUAUUUAUUUUAAUUAACUUUUGUCUAGUCAGUGUCUCGUGGAAGUACACGAUGGUGAAGACUCGCUGUGGCGCUUUCCUACAGGUACACAGACAAGCUGGGCAGAUCCAUUCCACUGCUCUUUCCUUGUCCAGUCCCUUCUCAUUCCCUCUCAAUCCCUUCUUCUAUUUUAAUGGAAUCCUCACAUUUUCCUUUCACUUUCUUUAUACACCACAUUUGUACUAAUGGCCUUUCUUCUUUAAUCUGGGAAUAUGGUAACUUGAGCUGAACUAAUCUCUCUUGCUUAGGAUAAACUCCAUUUGCUUACAACUUUUAUACAUUGCUGCAUUGGAUCUGCCAACAUUUUGUUGGACUUCCAUGCUAAGGAUUUAGGGACUUGGGGAAAAUAUAUUGAUAUUCAUGAUGCUGGCCUUGUGUCAUGACUUUGCAAGUGUUUUCUUCUACAGACUGUAUGGAAUCCAUAUUAUUUGGUAGAAUUUGCUAGUGAAACAUCUGGUCUGGAGUUUCCUUUGUAGAAAGACAUUAUGAAUUCAGUUUAUCUAAUUGAUAGGGGAUUCUACUAGUUAUCUGUCUUGAGUGAGUUUUAGCAGUUUGUAUUUGGGGUGAGCAGAACAGUGGCUCCCCAAAAGGUGUCCACAUCCUAAUCCCUGCAACCUGUGGCUACAUUGUUACCUGGCAAAGGGGGACUAAGGAUGUAGACAGAAUCAAGGUUGCAAAUUGAUUUUAAGAUAGGGAGAUGAGCCAGGUGCAGUGGUGCACACCUACAAUUCCAGCAGCUCAGGAAGCUGAGGCAGGAGGAUCCCAAGUUCAAAGCCAGCUUCUGCAAUUUAGCAAGGACCUAAGCAACUUCGUGAGACCCUGUCUCAAAAUAAAAAAUAAAAGGGCCAGGGAUGUGGCUCAGUGGUAAAGUACCUCUGGGUUCAAUCUGGUACCAAAAAAAAAAAAAAGUUUAAAUGAUGUCAUAAAAAGAAUUUGACUUGCUUUUGCAAGGUGACAGUAAAGGAAAGCCUCUGAGGCAAGAAAUUUUCACAAGAAACUGAAAAGGACAGGGAGGUGGCCCCUACCCAGAGCCUAUAAAGAACUGCAGCCCUGUGACACCUUGGUUUUUGCCUCAUGAGAACUGUGGCAGACUUCUAACCUACAGAACUGUAAGAAAGUAAAUCAAGGCAUUUUAAGGCACCAGGUUCAUGAUGAUUUGUUAGAGUAGCAACAGAAACUGAUAACAGUGAAAAACUGUGUUUUUCAAAGAGUUGGUCCAUUAUUUCCUCUAAGUUGUCAACUGAUUUUACAACUUUCUUAUUUAGAGUUGUUUGUAAUAUAUUCACUUAUCUUUUUAAUGCUCUGAGUCCAUACAUAGUGAUAUCCCUCUUUCAUCCCUGAUAUUGGUGAUUUGUGUCUUCCUUCUUUUUCAGAGAACCAUCUUUUAUUUUCAUUGAUUUUCUCUAGCUUUUCCAUCUUCGAUUUUAUUGGUUUCUGCUCAUUAUUUCUUUUUCUUGCAUUCAAUGGGUUUAAUUUGCUUCUUUUACUAGUUUUUUUAAAUUUACCUUUGCUUUUUAAUCUGUUAUUUAAUCAUAAGUUUAUAUAUAUAUAAUUUGUUUAUAUAUAAAUAUAUAUAUAUAUAUAUAUAUAUAUAUAUUUUUUAAGACAAGAGCUAUAUUUAACAACCAGUUCACCACACUUCUAAUCCUCAGGACUCUCUCACACAUGGUGUCUGGCCCUUUUUUUCCCCUAGACUUUUUUCCAAGGCUCCAGACUCUGGCCCCAGCUUCCUGUUCAACAUCCCAUUUGAAUGUCCUAUGGACACCUUGAUAUAAACACACAAACCAUGCCACACAAAGGCCCAAUCCUUUCCCAUCCUCUUUUACCUUCCCUAUUUUUGUUACACCUCCACCUACCCUUCACUGAAGCCCAAAGUGAAGCUGUGUCCUUUGAUGCCUCUUGCCUCACACGCCACAUCCAGCCAGGGAUCCCCUCAGCUAUAUUUAACACCAAGCUUGUAGCUGAGGCCUGCUCCCCCACCACCCUGGCCCCCACCAAACUGACUGGAAUCUGCACCUGUUUCCAGGCUCUGUCCUGGCCUCCAUCAUCUCCUCUCACCAUUUGACAAGAGGGAUACUGUCCCAGCAGGUCUCUCCUCUGUCCCCAAAUUCCUCCCCACAGCCUGUGAGCCUGCUCUUCCUUGCCCACAUUCCUCCCUCCUGCUGAUUCACCUCUUUUCUUGCAAUGCCCCAACCACGUUCCAGCCUGAGGACCUUGCUCUCGCUUCACCCUUGGUCAACAAAGCACUUGCUCAGGUUCCCCCAUGGUUUCCACUAUGCUUCCUUCACACAGCAACUCUGCAGAGGCCUUUCUGGCAUCCUGGUCCCUUUGUGGUGUUUUGCUGACCUUUAGUGCCCUGGCAUUCACCUGGCCUCACACUGAAGGCUUGCUUGUCACACAGAUGAGGGCCUGGCCUGAAGCAGUCCUCCAUCAUGUGUGGAAGGAAUGAAUGAAGGAGCAGCAACCAGGGGAUGCCUAGAGCCCCCACUUCCUCAUGCUAUCAGGAUGAGGGUACACCCUUGGCAAGGCUGACAGGGCCCUGGAGGACAUGGUCACCACUGACCCAUGUGACUCCACCUUGGGCCACAUGCCCCUCAACCACACCACUUCCUCCAGCAACAAUUACCCCAUGGGUUCCUUGAAUGGACCACACUCCCCCCUCAGGCCCUCCUGCAUCUUCUGGGACUGAAAUCCCCUCCCUACCUACCUGAUUUGUCCUUUGAGCCUCCUCAGGUUUCAGUUUGAUUAUCAUCAUCUCAGGGAGGCUUCCCUGACCCAUCCACUAGGUCCAGGGCUUCCUUAGCUCCACCACGGCAUACGUCAUACUGCGCCUCCCACCCUAGCUCCCAGACGGCAAGACCUGUAACUUACUAACCUCAGAGUCUUGAGGCCCAACAUGUACUAAUGCAUAAUCGAUAGAAUCUGAAUGAAAGGCUGAAUGGACAGUGAGUUAAUAAAAACUGAGACUGCUGAGAGACAGAGUGGGGACCUUCACCUUCACCUACACCCCAGUCCCCAUGCCUUUCAGCCUCCCAGAGGGCCUGGUUCAGCCCAGUCCAGGAGCAGGGUACCAACAAUCAGGGUGUAAGCCAGCCAUAGCUCAGUCUACUCCUGGACAUAAGGACAAGAAUCCUGUGAACCCAACAUGUGACAGGGAGAAAAGACAGGACCCAGGCAGGAAGAAGUCACAUCAACCAAAUUCUGGCGGUUACAGCCCCCAUUACCAUUCCUUGCCUAACUUCAGGCCCAGGCUGCACUCCUUGGCCAGUUUCCAGGAUGGCACCCAAAGGAAAGGCAGAAAAGGGGGUCCCUCCAGACCUGCAGAUGACAAUGAACAAUGAAUUGGAUGGUAGGACCAGAAUCACCCCCAAGCAACCCAAGCCAGAACCCUGGCUCACUUGCUGCCCAACUCCUUGGAAGGCAUCAUUGGAUUUUCUCCUGGGCCUAACAGGUUGCAGACUGACCUUCCCCCGCUGAUGCCCUGUCUGAGGAUGUGUUGGGGUUAAGAGGGUGAAGCAGUGCCCCAACGGGCCUGCAGCUCAGUGGCCUGGCUCUUCCCCAGUGCUCCUUCCUCUGUUCCAGAGAUCCCCCACAGCUCAUGGCCUGAGUCUCCCCUGGCGGUACAGAUAUGCUAUUUUGUGAACAUAUGUGAAGGCAGAGGAGACACUGAGACUUCAAUUGGACCUGUACUAGUGGCAUUCCUUUCAUGGGAACCCUUUUUUAUGCCCCCAGAUCAGCCCCUGGUGGUUGUAGAGGCCUCGUGGGCUCCGGGAUCUCUAGCCCCAGCCUUGUCCUGCCACCACCCCAGGGGCCUCAUACAGCUCCUAUAUUCUUGCCAGCCCUUGUUCAAGGCCUGCAUCUGCUCCACAUCUCAGUGUUCACCUCUGCAAGGACAAGCCUGGACCAGGCUCAUACCCAGCAGCAACCUCAAGCCUCCCCUCUCCCAGGGCUGUGUGCCUGGGUAGCAUCAUCCCCCUCUCAGUUCCACUCUGCUGACAUCAUCUCCAGAAUGUCUGACCUUGGCUUUGGCCAGGACCCAGCAUGACCUUUCUGAACUGUGUCCCAUCUGGGUGGCCACAGCAGCUAUGCCAUCUCUCCUGGGCUUGUUUCUACAGCCUGUCAAUGUGAACACUGUUCCCCUAGCUGCACACAGCCUUCUGCAGCAUAGUUGGCGCAGCACGUCCCAGCUCUGGACUCAAGCUGUAUGAUCUCAGGCAGAUCAUUUAGUCUCCCAAGCCACCUCUGUAGAAUACAUCCCCGAGGCUGGGAGAGACUUUAAAGGCUGAAAGGCAGUGGUACCCAACAGUUGGCAGACUGCAAGGCUGAUGCCCAGUAUGCCCAAGCCUAGAGGCAUCCCAUCUGGGGAAACUGUCCCUCCAAAGAGUUAGCCUGGACUCCUGCUCCCUCCUGCUCCCCUGGAAGCAGCUCUGCACACCUCUUCCCCAUAAUUCCUGGGCAUAGUGGAAGGUGGGCAAGAGAUGGGCAGAGAAGAACCAGAAAAGGGACUACAAGGAAUGAGGCUACCCACUUAUCUCAUGUUUCUCUGGGCCUCAGUUUCCCCUCAGCUCAGUGAAGCUGAGAUUUCUAUAAGUUAGAACUGAUGUCAGGGAGAGGAGAGGCGUGGCCUGCACUGGCCUUCCUGACUUCCUGACUGGAGGCCAGGAGGGGCUGCCUGAGCCAGCGGGAGUGAGCCUCUGGUGCAUUGAGAAAGGCUGAAAAACAAAUGCACCAGAAUCCAAAUCAGGAAAGCCCAGAGCUGGGGUUGCCAUGGCAACUUGCAGCAGCUCCCAGCCUGGUGCUCAGCCUUGCUGGAGUGGGGGCUGGGCCUGAUUUGCCAGGCUUGGCUGCCCCUGCCUCCUUCUCAGGCUGGCCUGGCACAGGCCAGAACACAGAGGAGGGACAAGGGCACAGACAGAAGGGUGGCAUGGCUUUCUUGGGUUCCCUCUACUAGCUGUAGCGAGAUCGCUC
rnacentral:lncRNA from 1 species